GACGAACGCUGGCGGCGCGCCUAACACAUGCAAGUCGAACGAGCGAGAGAGAGCUUGCUUUCUUGAUCGAGUGGCGAACGGGUGAGUAACGCGUGAGGAACCUGCCUCAAAGAUUGGGACAACAUUUGGAAACGACUGCUAAUACCGCAUAAGCCCACGUUGCCGCAUGGCACAGAUGGAAAAGGAGCAAUCCGCUUUGAGAUGGCCUCGCGUCCGAUUAGUUAGUUGGUGAGGUAACGGCCCACCAAGGCGACGAUCGGUAGCCGGGCGGAGAAGUUGAAAGGUCAGAUUGGGGAUGAGACACGGACCAGUACGGGACGGGAGGCAGGAGUAGGGAAUACUGCAGGAUGAGGGAAAACGUGAUGAAGCGGCGCGGCGUGGAGGAAGAAGGUGUUCGGAUUGCAAACUCGCGUUGUUGGAGAAGAUAAUGGCGGUAACGAACAAGGAAGUGACGGCUAACUACGUG
rnacentral:rRNA from 1 species